UGAUUGGUUACUGAACUGAUCUAUACUCUAGAGCAGUGUUUCACAAUCCUGGUUCUUGGGACUGAGAUGUAUAAGGCUUUGUUUAGACUGACAGCUCAAUUCUCAUCUUUCACUUUUUAGUCUUGAAUAAUCAGACCCUAAUGUUGGUGAAACUCUUUCGUUUCUGAAAUACUCUGGGAAUACCGCUCAAGCCCAGUUCUUGGGGGAAACACUUGUUGACCGUUUUGUGUCCCCAGGAUUAGAAUUCACUGCUAUAGACUGAUCUCAUGUCUGACUACAAGGUCUUACAAUGUCACGUCAUGCUUUCCUACUUUCUCCCUCUAGGUUUCUGCCCUCUGUUUGAGGUCCUGGUGUCUGCAGGGUUUGGAAAGGUGUGUGACUUUAGACAGAAUCUUAACGCUCCUUCCACAUGAAGCAUUCUGGGAUGUCGUAAAUGAUGAGCACUACUCAUGAAUGAAUCUCACUCUCCAGUCUGUUGUCAGUUCUGUGUUCUGGGGCUGGAUCAAGGUCUGGCCUCCCAUCGGUCCUCCUGUGGGUUGGGCAGACACUGACAAGCCUGCUCUUGCUUACCUGGGGCAGGGGUAAGGUGGGCUGCCUGCCUGGAGGGGAGGUGUCUGGGUGGGGGCUUGACCCCAGACCCUGGACCGCUGGAUGGCUACAAUGACUGAACUACAUGGACCUGAUCUGGUUUCAGAAUGUUCUGGAUGUAGUCUAGUAAUCUGAGAUGGGGAUUAUUUGGUUUUAAAACUGUUCUGUUUCUUUAGAUCUGGUUGGCUGCUGAAGUGUUGCUGUGCUGGUGGAGGGGAAGCUCUCCUGUUUUACACUUGCAAGACCUCUUACACUCCUGAUUGGUCAGCAAGGAAGUGGGGGAAACCAGGCCAAGUCAAUUCAACCCUGUGACUGUUCUGAUGUGUAAAUAAACCUACAAAUUAA